GAUGAACGCUGGCGGCGUGCCUAAUACAUGCAAGUCGAGCGAACAGAUGAGGAGCUUGCUCCUCUGACGUUAGCGGCGGACGGGUGAGUAACACGUGGAUAACCUACCUAUAAGACUGGGAUAACUUCGGGAAACCGGAGCUAAUACCGGAUAAUAUAUUGAACCGCAUGGUUCAAUAGUGAAAGACGGUUUUGCUGUCACUUAUAGAUGGAUCCGCGCCGCAUUAGCUAGUUGGUAAGGUAACGGCUUACCAAGGCGACGAUGCGUAGCCGACCUGAAAGGGUGAUCGGCCCAACGGGAACGGAGACACGGUCAAGCCUCCAACGGGAGGCAGCAGUAGGGAAUCUUCCGCAAUGAGGGAAAGCCUGACGGAGCAACGCCGCGUGAGUGAUGAGGGUCUUCGGAUCGUAAAACUCUGUUAUUAGGGAAGAACAAAUGUGUAAGUAACUAUGCACGUCUUGACGGUACCUAAUCAGAAAGCCACGGCUAACUACGUG
rnacentral:rRNA from 1 species